rnacentral:sRNA from 1 species
AGCUAAAAACGGUUCGGAUUGCACAGAUUGAUGAUGAUGCAAAUUAAAUAGGCAAUCAUGUUGAGACAGCCCACAGCCCCCCAGCAGCAAAAAGGCGAGCCCGAGUCCCCUAUGAGAGAUAUAAAGCUAAAGAAAUGAGGCGAUGCCAGAGGCAGGAGGUGGCAAUAAAAUAAAUAAACUUUGAAGGCAAUCUCAAUUGGAA